GCGCCUGUGGCGGAAUUGGUAGACGCGCCAGACUUAGGAUCUGGUGUCUCGCGACGUGCAGGUUCGAGUCCUGUCAGGCGCACGA
rnacentral:tRNA from 2 species